CUGAGGAACGGGACAGGGCCUGAGUAAAGGGAUAAAAAAAAAACCUAAACUGCAUUCCCCUUCCCUGAGGCUUACCUUGGCCCAGGAGGGGUGGGACAGGAUCUGGAGACUGCAGCCCGCAGUCAGCGGAGUCGGUUGGCCUCUCCUGAUGAUGUCAGGAGAAGGGGGUGUGACUUCCUCUGCUCUUCUCCCAGACUCCCUAGCAGUCCCGACUCCACUAGCUGCAGGGAGAGAGGUGAGUUUAAAAAUCUGAGUCCCCAGCCAGAGGCAGGAGAUUCGGAUUUGUGCUCCCCCCCC